GACGAACGCUGGCGGCGUGCUUAACACAUGCAAGUCGAACGGUGAAGCGCCUUCCUUUUUGGUGGGUGUGGAUGAGUGGCGAACGGGUGAGUAACACGUGAGUAACCUGCCCCCUUCUUCUGGAUAACCGCAUGAAAGUGUGGCUAAUACGGGAUAUUCUGGGUCUGUCGCAUGAUGGGUCUGGGAAAGAUAUUGUUUCGGUGGGGGAUGGGCUCGCGGCCUAUCAGCUUGUUGGUGGGGUGAUGGCCUACCAAGGCGGUGACGGGUAGCCGGCCUGAGAGGGUGGACGGUCACACUGGGAGUGAGACACGGCCCAGACUCCGACGGGAGGCAGCAGUGGGGAAUAUUGCACAAUGGGCGAAAGCCUGAUGCAGCGACGCCGCGUGAGGGAUGGAGGCCUUCGGGUUGUGAACCUCUUUCGCCAGUGAAGCAGGCCUGCCUCGUUUGUGGGUGGGUUGACGGUAGCUGGAUAAGAAGCGCCGGCUAACUACGUG
rnacentral:rRNA from 1 species